rnacentral:rRNA from 1 species
CUGAUGCAGCGACGCCGCGUGAGGGAUGACGGCCUUCGGGUUGUAAACCUCUUUCAGUAGGGAAGAAGCGAAAGUGACGGUACCUGCAGAAGAAGCGCCGGCUAACUACGUGCCAGCAGCCGCGGUAAUACGUAGGGCGCAAGCGUUAUCCGGAAUUAUUGGGCGUAAAGAGCUCGUAGGCGGUUUGUCGCGUCUGCCGUGAAAGUCCGGGGCUCAACUCCGGAUCUGCGGUGGGUACGGGCAGACUAGAGUGAUGUAGGGGAGACUGGAAUUCCUGGUGUAGCGGUGAAAUGCGCAGAUAUCAGGAGGAACACCGAUGGCGAAGGCAGGUCUCUGGGCAUUAACUGACGCUGAGGAGCGAAAGCAUGGGGAGCGAACAGGAUUAGAUACCCUGGUAGUCCAUGCCGUAAACGUUGGGCACUAGGUGUGGGGGACAUUCCACGUUUUCCGCGCCGUAGCUAACGCAUUAAGUGCCCCGCCUGGGGAGUACGGCCGCAAGGUAACUA